AGAUAAUAUGAAUUUUAUCUCAAUUGGAUAAGCUGUUGUUGGAAUCAAUCUUCAACUUCCAUCAUCAAUUGCAAUAAACGCUUGAGGCUGUUUGCGAGUGGCCCGCACCCUUCAUAACUCGACAAAGAAAAAUCUUUUUACUUUCAACCCUCAUGGAUGGCACCUUCACGAUCAGGACAAGAGUCAGAGGAACAGAAAAAAAUCAGCCAACAAUGGACAAGAGAUUCAUCGAUAAGUUCCUGUUUCUUGGGUUUGUUGGAUAACAAAUAUUCUUGGAGCUAGUUAGGACAUUUGUCUUCUCAUAUAUGGCUGCUCACAUGGCU